GACGAACGCUGGCGGCGUGCUUAACACAUGCAAGUCGAACGGAAAGGCCCUGCUUUUGUGGGGUGCUCGCGUGGCGAACGGGUGAGUAACCCGUGAGUAACCUGCCCUUUACUUUGGGAUAACUUCAGGAAACUGGGGCUAAUACCGGAUAGGAGCUCCUGCUGCAUGGUGGGGGUUGGAAAGUUUCGGCGGUUGGGGAUGGACUCGCGGCUUAUCAGCUUGUUGGUGGGGUAGUGGCUUACCAAGGCUUUGACGGGUAGCCGGCCUGAGAGGGUGACCGGCGACAUUGGGACUGAGAGACGGACCAGACGCGUACGGGAGGCAGCAGGGGGGAAUAUUGCACAAUGGGCGGAAGCCUGAUGAAGCAACGCCGCGUGCGGGAUGAAGGCCUUGGGGGUGUAAACCGCUUUAGCCUGUGACGAAGCGUGAGUGACGGUAAUGGGUAAAGAAGCACCGGCUAACUACGUG
rnacentral:rRNA from 1 species